rnacentral:rRNA from 1 species
CCUACGGGAGGCAGCAGUGGGGAAUAUUGGACAAUGGGCGAAAGCCUGAUCCAGCCAUGCCGCGUGUGUGAAGAAGGUCUUCGGAUUGUAAAGCACUUUAAGUUGGGAGGAAGGGCAGUUACCUAAUACGUGAUUGUUUUGACGUUACCGACAGAAUAAGCACCGGCUAACUCUGUGCCAGCAGCCGCGGUAAUACAGAGGGUGCAAGCGUUAAUCGGAAUUACUGGGCGUAAAGCGCGCGUAGGUGGUUAGUUAAGUUGGAGGUAAAAUCCCCGGGCUAAACCUGGAAACUGCAUUCAAAACUGACUGACUAGAGUAUGGUAGAGGGUGGUGAAAUUUCCUGUGUAGCGGUAAAAUGCGUAGAUAUAGGAAGGAACACCAGUGGCGAGGG